GUAGUAUUCCCUCCAUCCCAAAAUUCUUGUCUUACAUUUGUUUAGAUACGGAUGUAUCUAACACUAAAAUGUUACUAGAUACAUCCAUAUUUUUACAAAUUUCAGCCAAGAAUUUUCGGACGGAGGGAGUACAAA
rfam:Triticum aestivum genome assembly, contig: Triticum_aestivum_CS42_TGACv1_scaffold_306590_4AS